rnacentral:rRNA from 1 species
CCUACGGGUGGCAGCAGUGAGGAAUAUUGGUCAAUGGACGAGAGUCUGAACCAGCCAAGUAGCGUGAAGGAUGACUGCCCUAUGGGUUGUAAACUUCUUUUAUAUGGGAAUAAAACGUUCCACGUGUGCCUUUUUGUAUGUACUUUAUGAAUAAGGAUCGGCUAACUCCGUGCCAGCAGCCGCGGUAAUACGGAGGAUCCGAGCGUUAUCCGGAUUUAUUGGGUUUAAAGGGAGCGUAGAUGGGUUGUUAAGUCAGUUGUGAAAGUUUGCGGCUCAACCGUAAAAUUGCAGUUGAGACUGGCAGUCUUGAGUACAGUAGAGGUGAGCGGAAUUCGUGGUGUAGCGGUGAAAUGCUUAGAUAUCACGAAGAACUCCGAUUGCGAAGGCAGCUUACUAAACUGUGACUGACACUGAGGCUCGAAAGUGUGGGUAUCAAACAGGAUUAGAUACCCGUGUAGUC